rnacentral:rRNA from 1 species
UACGAGGGGUCCAAGCGUUAUCCGGAUUCAUUGGGUUUAAAGGGAGCGUAGGUGGUCUUAUAAGUCAGUGGUGAAAUCUCGCAGCUUAACUGCGAAACUGCCAUUGAUACUGUAGGACUUGAGUAUAGUUGCUGUGGGCGGAAUAUGACAUGUAGUGGUGAAAUACUUAGAGAUGUCAUAGAACACCGAUUGCGAAGGCAGCUCACAAAACUAUAACUGACACUGAGGCUCGAAAGUGCGGGGAUCAAACAGG